rnacentral:tRNA from 1 species
UGGCGUAGUGGUUAACGCGCCCCAACUAGAGAUCGGGGAGUCGUGAGUUCGAUUCUCAC